GACGAACGCUGGCGGCGUGCUUAACACAUGCAAGUCGAACGGAAAGGCCCUGCUUUUGUGGGGUGCUCGAGUGGCGAACGGGUGAGUAACACGUGAGUAACCUGCCCUUGACUUUGGGAUAACUUCAGGAAACUGGGGCUAAUACCGGAUAGGAGCUCCUGCUGCAUGGUGGGGGUUGGAAAGUUUCGGCGGUUGGGGAUGGACUCGCGGCUUAUCAGCUUGUUGGUGGGGUAGUGGCUUACCAAGGCUUUGACGGGUAGCCGGCCUGAGAGGGUGACCGGCCACAUUGGGAUUGAGAUACGGCCCAGACUCCUACGGGAGGCAGCAGUGGGGAAUAUUGCAUAAUGGGCGGAAGCCUGAUGCAGCAACGCCGCGUGCGGGAUGACGGCCUUCGGUUUGUAAACCGCUUUCGCCUGUGACGAAGCGUGAGUGACGGUAAUGGGUAAAGAAGCACCGGCUAACUACGUG
rnacentral:rRNA from 1 species